rnacentral:lncRNA from 10 species
GUGAGCUUCCCGGAGGAGGGGACCUUCGAGCUGUGUAGCGGGGAAGGUAGGAGAGCGAUGAGAGCGCCCGGAAGGGACAAGCAUUCGGGGAGACUGAAGCGCAUUCAACAACAUAUUUAUUGAGCACCUACUACGUCCAGGCACUGUUACAUCGGUGAUGUAACAAAAGCCGACAAAAACCCUCACCCCGAGCGCAGGCACCGCAGAGGGCGAUGACGACCCGAGAAGAUGCCGAACGCAGGCCAGGAGGGGGCUCUGGGGAAAAGCAAAGGCAGGGGAGGUUGCCCAUCGGGGAGCCUCGCGUCCCUGGGCCCUCCGUACUCUGCACAUAUGCAGAGGCCCCCACCCGUCCUGUAACCGCAAACUGCUUGGCGUGACUUGGCCAGCGGAGGGAGGAGCCCAGGCUGCAGGACAAGCAGGAGUCAGUCCCUGCAGUUGCUGGGGAAAGUGGACUCUUCUGGUAGCUGCUUUUACAGCCCCUGCCCUCAGAGGCCCCCCAGGUGGGAAGGGCCUGCCUCCUAGGCAGUGGGUGGUCACCGAGGACUGACUUUGAACCCGGGGCAAGGGAGCCCCAGAAGGCUGGAGGCCUGCACACGGCACUGGAAGAAACAAACUGCAAAGGCUGUCCCUCAGGGCUAUCUCCACAGCCACCGGAAUGCGGCCUGGAAUAUCCAAACCUGUCAGCCCACCUGCACCCAGCCAGACAGCGACCAUUCUAGCUGCUUCCCCGGAGGCCUGCUGACCCAGAGAGGUGUCAAAAAGCUGAAGCACAACAGACAGACCUCCCACAGACUCAGCAGGGAGUUGGAGGACAGUCGGCACACCAGCAGCUGUAGCCCAUCACCUCCCCCCUCCCCAUUCACCUGGUAUGCAGCACUUAAGGGCUUGCUGAAGCCCCAGCAAAGCAGAGGCCCACCUGAGAGCUUGGAAACACACCUAUGCCCCAGACCACCGCAAUCGCAAUCUCCAGUCAGCCCUGGCCACCACAGUGAACUGCCUAAGUGCCCCAGAUGACUGAGUCACAAGCCAGGGCUGGGAAGCACUGCAUGAAAGGCGGCCUUCUCUAGACAAGGCUGGACACACCCCUGCAAGGCCUGUCUCCUAGGAGCUGGGAUGAAACUCUGGACGAUGUGCUGGGAACAAAGAAAACCCACAUGGUAAAGGCUCGCUUUUCCUUGGGAAUCUGCAAUGCUUACAGAACGGGAAAGGCUGAAAGCCGCCCACAGUGCCGCACCUGGGCCUGAGGGCUGGUGUACCCACCCUCUCCCGGAGGAAACAAGACCCGUGACCAGACUCAAAACCACCUCACACCCUCACAAUCCUUACAGAAUAUUCAAAGACUGGCACUUCAACCUUACAACCUGAGCACGUCUAAAUGCCUAACACAAUACCAAGCACACUGUAUGCCACGCUUUUAAAAGGUAGAGAUCUUAAAAAAACAAAAAACACUACCUCGGGUAUGAAGACAGAUUUUAUGAUGCCAGUCAUUUCCAGAGGGGCUGCCCGCUGUGGCACAGCACCACCUGGUGGCCACCCCAACCCAUGCACCUCCCCCCAUCCCAGUACCCUGACAGCAAGCCAAUGAAAGAGGUGUUAAUAUGGCUAUUUUCCAACUGAGGAAACAGGCAAAAGUGUAGUCAUUUCUCCAAGUCAGUCAAGUUAGCGAGUGGUAGAUGUGCUAUACCUUGUUGCACCCAUUUUGGGACCUGUUUGAAUGGCAUGCCCCACCAUCGCUCCCACAUCUGCCAGUUAUGUUUAACCCCACGUGCUAUUUCCAUCAUGGCCUCCCCACAUCUUAUUUUCAAACAGGCUGAAAACAGAUGGCCUCAUUUGCCGACUGAGAUCAUGCUCAAGAUUAGGGAUGCACCGGGCACGGAGGCUCAUGCCUGUAAUCCCAGCACUAUGGGAGGCUGAGGCAGGCAGUGAAACCCUGUCUCUACUACAAAUACAAAAAUUGGCCAGGCGUGGUGAUGUGUGCCUGUAAUCCCAGCCACUCGGGAGGCUGAGGCAGGACAGUCGCUUGAACCCAGGAGGCGGAGGUGGUAGUGAGCUGAUAUCGCACCACUGUGCUCCAGGAUGAGCCACAGAGCAAGACUCCGUCUCAAAGAAAGAAAAAAAAAAAAAAAAAA